ensembl:rRNA 5S_rRNA 5S ribosomal RNA
GUCUACGGCCAUACCACCCUGAACGCGCCUGAACUCAUCUGGUCUCAGAAGCUAAGCAGGGUCAGGCCUGGUUAGUACUUGGAUGGGAGACCACCUGAGAUUACUGGGUGCUGUAGACU